GUUGGAAACAGCCAUGAAACUGAUUCCACCACUUCUGUGCAGGCUGACAACAACCCUUCUGAACAACAGGUGGAUGUUGGAAACAGCAAUGGAACUGAUCUCACCAAUUCUGUACAGUGUGUGACCAACCCUACUCCUGUGUAUAUAGUUGUGGUGUAUGGAGACCAAACUUAUAC